rnacentral:rRNA from 1 species
GUUUGAUCCUGGCUCAGAUUGAACGCUGGCGGCAUGCUUUACACAUGCAAGUCGAACGGCAGCAUGGGUGCUUGCACCUGAUGGCGAGUGGCGAACGGGUGAGUAAUAUAUCGGAACAUGUCCGGAAGUGGGGGAUAACGUAGCGAAAGUUACGCUAAUACCGCAUAUGCCCUGAGGGGGAAAGGAGGGGAUCGUAAGACCUUUCGCUUUCGGAGUGGCCGAUAUCAGAUUAGCUAGUUGGUGAGGUAAAGGCUCACCAAGGCGACGAUCUGUAGCGGGUCUGAGAGGAUGAUCCGCCACACUGGGACUGAGACACGGCCCAGACUCCUACGGGAGGCAGCAGUGGGGAAUUUUGGACAAUGGGCGCAAGCCUGAUCCAGCCAUGCCGCGUGAGUGAAGAAGGCCUUCGGGUUGUAAAGCUCUUUCAGCCGGAAAGAAAUCAUGCUUACUAAUACUAAGUGUGGAUGACGGUACCGGAAGAAGAAGCACCGGCUAACUACGUGCCAGCAGCCGCGGUAAUACGGAGGGUGCAAGCGUUACUCGGAAUCACUGGGCGUAAAGGGUGCGUAGGCUAGCUUCUAAGUCAGAUGUGAAAUCCAAUGGCUCAACCAUUGAACUGCAUUUGAAACUGGGAGCCUAGAGUUCAGAAAGGGCAGAUGGAAUUAGUGGUGUAGGGGUAAAAUCCGUAGAUAUCACUAGGAAUAUCAAAAGCGAAGGCAAUCUGCUGGGAUGAUACUGACGCUGAGGCACGAAAGCGUGGGGAGCAAACAGGAUUAGAUACCCUGGUAGUCCACGCCCUAAACGAUGAAUGCUAGUCGUCGGGGAGCUCGUCUCUUCGGUGAUGCACUUAACAGAUUAAGCAUUCCGCCUGGGGAGUACGGUCGCAAGAUUAAAACUCAAAGGAAUAGACGGGGACCCGCACAAGUGGUGGAGCAUGUGGUUUAAUUCGAAGAUACACGAAGAACCUUACCUGGCCUUGACAUCCCAAAGACCCUUAAGAGAUUAGGGGGUGCUAGCUUGCUAGAAUUUGGUGACAGGUGCUGCACGGCUGUCGUCAGCUCGUGUCGUGAGAUGUUGGGUUAAGUCCCGCAACGAGCGCAACCCUCGUCUUUAGUUGCUAACAGUUCGGCUGAGCACUCUAAAGAGACUGCCUUCGUAAGGAGGAGGAAGGUGAGGACGACGUCAAGUCAUCAUGGCCCUUACGGCCAGGGCUACACACGUGCUACAAUGGGGCGUACAAAGAGCUGCAAUACCGCGAGGUGGAGCCAAUCUCUUAAAGCGUCUCUCAGUUCGGAUUGUUCUCUGCAACUCGAGAACAUGAAGCUGGAAUCACUAGUAAUCGUAGAUCAGCUAUGCUACGGUGAAUACGUUCCGGGGUCUUGUACUCACCACCCGUCACACCAUGGGAGUUGAUUUCACCCGAAAUCGGGAUGCCAAACUGGCUACCGCUUACGGUGGAAUUAGCGACUGGGGUGAAGUCGUAACAAGGGGGCCGUA